AAUAAAGUCCAUACCACUUUGCCAAUCCCCGAUCUCAUCUGAUCUCAGAAGUUAAGCAGGGCUGGGUCUGGUUAAUACUUGUAUGACAAACCACUGGGAAGGUGCUGUGGUC
rnacentral:rRNA from 1 species